rnacentral:lncRNA from 1 species
AUGACAAAAUCUCACAACCAUGUGCCUGUGUUCCUGAAUGGCAAUAAUCAAUUGGAGCUCGCUGGCUUACCCUGUUGCAUGGUUGCCUCUGUUUCCAGUUUACUACAGGCCCAAUCACCUCAUGUCCUUUCACACCACCACUUACUUCAUGUCACCUUCCCAUCUGCAUGGCUGCAAGCAACUUACGGAAGAAACUGUGUGCCUUCUUUCUUAUACUGUACAAUGCCUAACACAGAAUGUCGUACACGCAAUAUAUCUCAGUGCUCACUGGAGUGGAGCAGAAAACUGAGACAUCAUAAAGCAGAAAAGAUGAGAUGCCAGAAGGCUUCAAACUGCGGAAGACCAGAGAGAGAGAGAUGGAUGGACAACAAAGGCAAAAGUGAUUAUUUCAAUUUUCUGUCUGGGUUUGUACACCCAUAGACUAGAGUACCACCACCUAAAGUCUCUCCUCCCUAGUACUGUUCAUGAUUAAUCUGUUUCCUUCAUAUGGAAAAUCCAGAUGUAUUUGUUUCCUUUCUGGAUCAUCAGGUUGUAUAAAUGAACAAAUCUCUUAUUUCUAUAGAGAUUCCUAUGUCCUAAGGUGUGAUCCAAGAAGUUUCUGAAUCUAUGUGUGUGUGUGUGUGUGUGUGUUGUGUGCACACAUCUGUUCAUGUAAUUUCACUUUAAAUGGUAAAGUGUAGGUGGGACUUUGAAAACCUACUCAUGUUCUACAGAUAAUGGUUUGAAUACAAUUUUCUCCACAUGUGUUAUCAUUGUUUUCAAUCCUGAUAGUGAGACUGACUUAAACAUAAAACAAACCUACAAAUAAAAAAAAAUGCCCAAAUAACUUAUUUUAAAAUGAUCUAAGAGCAUAGACUGACAAUUUAUAGGAGAAGGACCCUAAAGGAUUAAUAACUAUAUCAACCAACCUCAUUAGUAAAUGGAAAAUUUACACUAAGCAUCAUGAUGCCCAAUAGAUUUAAAAGUCUGACAAUACCCAAUAUUGUUAAAAUGUAGGAAAAAUCAUAGUUUAAUACUGAGUGGAAGUGAAAAUUCUUACAACAAAUUUUGGAGACUUGAUUUUUGCAAUAUCUGGUAAAACUGAGUAUUUUCACCUCUUCAGUUCAGUUCAGUCACUCAGUCAUGUCCGACUCUUUGCAACCCCAUGAAUCCCAGCACGCCAGGCAUCCUUGUCCAUCACCAACUCCCAGAGUUCACUCAAACUAAUGUCCAUUGAGUUGGUGAUGCCAUCCAGCCAUCUCAUCCUCUGUCGUCCCUUUCUCCUCCUGCCCCCAAUCCCUCCCAGCAUGAGUCUUUUCCAGUGAGGCAACUCUUCGCAUGAGGUGGCCAAAGUAAUGGAGUUUCAGCUUUAGCAUCAUUCCUUCCAAAGAAAUCCCAGGGUUGAUCUCCUUCAGAAUGGACUGGUUGGAUCUCCUUGCAGUCCAAGGGACUCUCAAGAGUCUUCUCCAACAUCACAGUUCAAAAGCAUCAAUUCUUCGGUGCUCAGCCUUCUUCACAGUCCAACUCUCACAUCCAUACACCACUGGAAAAACCAUAGCCUUGACUAGACUCUUAAGACACAACAAUUUUACACUUCAAUAAAUACCCUAGAGAUAAUUUCACUCAGAACCAUAGACAAAGAGACAAGCAAGAAUGUUCAUAGCAGCCUUGUUUAUAAUUGCACAAAGUUGGAAGCAAAUCGAUUUUCAUCAUCUUGAAAACUGAUCAGUAAUAAUGGUAUAUUCACAUAACUAGGAGUGUUUUCAGCCAUGAAAAUGAAUAGACUUUAUGUCAGAUUAAUCUCUCAAAGAUAAUGUUGAAUGAUGAAAUAGAUUGUGAAGAUUUUAAAAACUGCCAGGCCAUGACACAUGUUUUUCCUAGAUAUAAACAUAUAUAGUCAAAAUUUCAAAAUCAUAUAAAGAAUUAAUAAAACCUUUCUAGACAGUUUAUUUUCAAGGAAAGGGGAGUACAAAAUGGAGUUCAAAUUUAUUAUAAGACUUUAUUAAAAUUUUUUGACUCAGAAUUUUAGGAAUUUCUAAUAAGUAAAUCUACACUGUGUUGGUAAUAUUUAGUCUCUAUAAUUUUCUUCAUGUAUAAAAUACUGCACAAUAAAAGUAUGUCAGAGUGUAUUAUCUGUGCGGACUUAAUGUUUCCACAGCAUGAGGCACAAGCAUCUGUUAUAACAGUACCACAUUCUGUUAAGAUUGUCUCCUUAGGACAUUAAGUUUAUCGCUUUAUGACAUUAGGACAUUAUUGACGCCACCAAUCUAGGACUGUUUCUUAUUCAGUUUUUAAUUUAUCGCCUCAAUAAUUGUUGGUGAAUGACUAUAACAACUUUAUUAUAAUAUUAGAAAUAAAGGUUGCAAAAUUACACAUAAAAUUAAUAGUAUACUGAUCAAUAUUACAGUAAAGAGAUUAUAAAACAUGUGUCUCUACAUAAAGGUUUUCUCCUUUCUCCAGCUCCUAUCUCAAUUAUAGGAUGUCAUUUUAUUACACUGACUUUUGCUGAUGGUAUGAGAGGACUUCACAAAAUACCAUGUAUCUGGUUCAGUUCAGUUCAGUCUUUCAGUCAUGUCCGACUCUUUGUGACCCCAUGAAUUGCAGCACACCAGGCCUCCCUGUCCAUCACCAACUCUCGGAGUUCACUCAGACUCAUGCCCAUCGAGUCAGUGAUGCCAUCCAGCCAUCUCAUCCUCAAUCGUGCCCUUCUCCUACUGCCCCUAAUCCCUCCCAGCAUCAGAGUCUUUUCCAAUGAGUCAACACUUUGCAUGAGGCGGCCAAAGUACUGGAGUUUCAGCUUUAGCAUCAUUCUCUUCAAAGAAAUCCCAGGGUUGAUCUCCUUCAGAAUGGACUGGUUGGAUCUCCUUGCAGUCCAAGGGACUCUCAAGAGUCUUCUCCAACAUCACAGUUCAAAAGCAUCAAUUCUUUGGCGCUCAGCCUUCUUCACACUCCAACUCUCACAUCCAUACAUGACCAAUGGAAAAACCAUAGCCUUGACUAGACAGACCUUUGUUGGCAAAGUAAUGUCUCUGCUUUUGAAUAUGCUAUCUAGGUUGGUCA